CCUACGGGUGGCUGCAGUGAGGAAUAUUGGUCAAUGGGCUUACGCCUGAACCAGCCAAGUCGCGUGAGGGAAGACUGCCCUAUGGGUUGUAAACCUCUUUUGUCAGGGAGCAAUUGGAGCUACGUGUAGCGUUAUCGAGAGUACCUGAAGAAAAAGCAUCGGCUAACUCCGUGCCAGCAGCCGCGGUAAUACGGAGGAUGCGAGCGUUAUCCGGAUUUAUUGGGUUUAAAGGGUGCGUAGGCGGAAAGCCAAGUCAGAGGUAAAAUUGCGGGGCUUAAACCUGCUUCUGCGUUUGAAACUGGCGUUCUAGAGUGCAGGAGAGGUAUGCGGAAUGCGUGGUGUAGCGGUGAAAUGCGUAGAUAUCACGCAGAACUCCGAUUGCGAAGGCAGCAUACCGG
rnacentral:rRNA from 1 species